UCACCUGCCGAAGCAACUAGCCCUGAAAAUGGAUGGCGCUCUAGCGUCGUGCCUAUACCGGGCCGUCAACGGCAAAGUGGGCUACUGACCGGACGGCCUCGGCCGGCCGGCUUGGCCGUUAAGCCUUGACGAGUAGGAGGCGCGCGGCGGUGUGCGCAGAAGGGUCUGGGCGCGAGCCUGCCUGGAGCCGCCGUCGGUGCAGAUCUUGGUGGUAGUAGCAAAUACUCUAGCGAGGGCCUGGAGGGCUGAUGUGGAGAAGGGUUUCUUGUGAACAGCCGUUGCACAAGAGUCAGUCGACCCUAAGCCCUAGGAGAAAUCCGAUGUUGAUGGGCAGCGAUCACGCGGCUGGUUAACACGGCCUGCCGACUGCUCCCGUCGGGCGAAAGGGAAUCCGGUUCCUAUUCCGGAACCCGGCUGCGGAACCGUAACUUCGCGGGCACUCGCCUGCGAGCGCUCGUCGGGGUAACCCAAAAUGACCCGGAGACGCCGGCGGGAGGUCUGGAAAGAGUUGUCUUUUCUUUAUAAGCGUUCGAGUUCCCUGGAAUCCUAUAGCAGGGAGAUAGGGUUUGGAACGCGAAGAGCACCGCAGUUGCGGCGGUGUCCGGACCUUCCCCCCGGACCUUGAAAAUCCGGGUGAGGGCUACGCGGAAAUGUCGCGCCGGCUCGUACCCAUAUCCGCAGCAGGUCUCCAA
rnacentral:rRNA from 1 species